rnacentral:tRNA from 1 species
UGUGGUGUUGCUUAGUGGUAAAGCACUUGUCUAGCAUGUGAAAGGCACUGGGUUUGAUCCUCAGCACUAUAC